AGAAGCUUGCUUCUCUUGAGAGCGGCGGACGGGUGAGUAAAGCCUAGGAAUCUGCCUGGUAGUGGGGGAUAACGUUCGGAAACGGACGCUAAUACCGCAUACGUCCUACGGGAGAAAGCAGGGGACCUUCGGGCCUUGCGCUAUCAGAUGAGCCUAGGUCGGAUUAGCUAGUUGGUGAGGUAAUGGCUCACCAAGGCGACGAUCCGUAACUGGUCUGAGAGGAUGAUCAGUCACACUGGAACUGAGACACGGUCCAGACUCCUACGGGAGGCAGCAGUGGGGAAUAUUGGACAAUGGGCGAAAGCCUGAUCCAGCCAUGCCGCGUGUGUGAAGAAGGUCUUCGGAUUGUAAAGCACUUUAAGUUGGGAGGAAGGGCAUUAACCUAAUACGUUAGUGUUUUGACGUUACCGACAGAAUAAGCAC
rnacentral:rRNA from 1 species